rnacentral:lncRNA from 1 species
UCGUAACGACUCUGAAUCCAUUCAGCAUCAGUCAACUAGGGACCUGAGGGUAUAAUUUUCUUUUUUCUUUUGGAAAAAUUUUGAAAAAUUUUCCUGAUUUUUGAUUUUUUUUUCUUUUUCACCCUCUUUUUUCUUUUUUUUUUCUUUUUUUUUUAUUUUUUUUUAUUGAUUACAUUUGCAAUGCCCCAGUUUGACUGUUUUGCUGAUUUUCAUGGUACAGCUGAAUGAGCUCCUUUGGUGCUCAAGAAGGCGGGUAAUCUC